UGUUUUAUACUAAAUAGGAAUUCAAAAUGUGUGCUAAUGGGUGACCAUACGAACUGGUGUCACAACCGCAGAAACUUGGAGCACAGAAUACUCACCUGGCUUGACCUAUAAGUUUCCAUGGUAUUGGUGGUUGUAACCGUUGGUUAUCAAGAUUGGACAGAUUCGAUUUGAUUGGUUGCAAUUACAACAAAUAUGGCCAGCUGGAGAUGGAGGAAGGAGGAGAAAGAUAACUGGAGGAUGGUGUGACACCACUGAUACAAAACGCAUCCUCCAUUGUGAAGGACUCUGUUUAGCAUGAAGUGAGCAAAGAGCAUCCAGGAAUUCCUCACAUGCACCUUGCAUGUCACCUGUAAGAAGCUUAACUUCUUACCAAGGAAGGAGGGCCCAAGAUCUGUAUUGAAGGUUGUGGAGAACACAAGGACACUUAUAUUGGGCUACCUUCAUGUUGGAGAGGACAUGUGUGGGAUCCCGCCAAAUUUUAUUUCCUACGAGAUGGUAUGCAGAAGGAACAUAAAGUCUUCCCAGCACCAUGUAUCAGCAAUACGCACCACAGCUCAUAAGCUGAAUAGUUCAGGCCGGUGGUUAUGAAGAAUUCUGUCUUCUGGGAUACAGCACUGUGUAGUCUGCUGAAAGUCAACUUACAUCUCAGAAUAACAUGUUGCUUCCUUCUUCAGGGCUGAAGAACAUGACAAGCAAGAAACCAAUGUGAAGCAAGCAAAGGAACUUUUAAUGUUUAUAUGACAUUGGCCCUGUCAUGUUCAAUUUCAGUUUUCUCUCUGACCUUUUUUGAAGAUGUGAAAAAUACCAUCUGUAAAGUUCAGCAAACAAUUUUGUGAAAGUUUCAAGUUUAUUUUCUGAGAAGUAAAGCACGGGCAGUGCAUAAGGCUGACAACCUUACAAUCUUUGAGCCGA